rnacentral:tRNA from 1 species
AUUUAAGUAGUUUAGCAAAAAUAAUGAUUUGUGGAGUCAUAGAUGUAUUAAUACCUUAGAUA